rnacentral:lncRNA from 1 species
UUAUUUAGCACCCUGAUAAAGAAAGAAAAACCCUAGAAUGUUUCUCUCUCUCUCUCUCUUUGUUUUUGUUUUUUUCAGAUAUUGUACGAGUUGCAACAUAUAAAUAAACACACCACUGAUUUGAUCUUUUUAAAAUUAAAUACAAAAGCAAGUUAAAUUUUUGACAGUAGAUUAGUGAAUCCCCUCCUGGGGGAAAAAGACACAACUUGCAUUAGCAGAACUUUGCUUCAAACGCAUUGGAAUGAUACAUAGCAUUUGUGAUAUCUCAAUAGCUGAUUUGCAGAUACUAGAGAAAGCUUUUUCUGGGGUAGCCUUUUUAUCAUUAAACCAGAGUCUGUGGAGAAAGGUCUCUUAUAAAUAAGGUCCAGAGCUCGCGUUUUCAAAGCUAAGUCUAACCGGGAUCCAUGAGUACAGCUGUGUUAACAGAAAGAGAGACAAAAGGAAACCCAGGCAACUGACUGAUGUGGUCUGCAGCAGGGCAAGCUUCCUCUCCCUCACCAGAGGUGGUGUUUACAGAACUGAAUGGACUUGAAGUUCAAGUUUGCAAGAAGAUCUUUGUGCCUUAGUUUCUAUACUGCAGUUCUUUUGUUUGUUUGGGAAUCCCAGCUCUGUUCCCUCUGUCUGCUUAUUGCCAAAGCUUCACUGCCCUCAGAAAGGGUCAUCGUCAAGCACAGUCAUGCAAGAAGAGGUGUUGCAGUGGCCAAGGUAACGAAAUACGCAGUCAAAGUAUUGCAGCAAUCAGAGCUUAAAAACUGUUUCAUUAUGAUUUUUUUAUUUCUGUUCUCCAUAUCCCUGUGA